rnacentral:rRNA from 1 species
UACAGAGGGUGCGAGCGUUAAUCGGAAUUACUGGGCGUAAAGCGCGCGUAGGCGGCUUUUCAAGUCGAUUGUGAAAUCCCCGGGCUUAACCUGGGAACUGCAGUCGAGACUGUCUAGCUAGAGUAUGGGAGAGGGAAGUGGAAUUUCAGGUGUAGCGGUGAAAUGCGUAGAUAUCUGAAAGAACAUCAGUGGCGAAAGCGACUUCCUGGACCAAUACUGACGCUCAUGUGCGAAAGCGUGGGGAGCAAACAGGG